AUCAACCUCACGAGUCCCAAAUAGGACGAAACGUGCGUCAAACUGGAU
rnacentral:hammerhead_ribozyme from 1 species